UUCUGAAAAAGGCAAACCCACUGAAAGGCGGGGACGCAAAGCCACGGGUCUAAGGCUGCAUAAAAAUGCGGCUACGACAGCCGGGUUGCCAGA
rnacentral:ncRNA from 1 species